ACGUACACUCCUACGGGAGGCAGCAGUGGGGAAUAUUGCACAAUGGGCGCAAGCCUGAUGCAGCCAUGCCGCGUGUGUGAAGAAGGCCUUCGGGUUGUAAAGCACUUUCAGCGGGGAGGAAGGCAAUGCGGUUAAUAACCGUGUUGAUUGACGUUACCCGCAGAAGAAGCACCGGCUAACUCCGUGCCAGCAGCCGCGGUAAUACGGAGGGUGCAAGCGUUAAUCGGAAUUACUGGGCGUAAAGCGCACGCAGGCGGUCUGUCAAGUCGGAUGUGAAAUCCCCGGGCUCAACCUGGGAACUGCAUUCGAAACUGGCAGGCUUGAGUCUUGUAGAGGGGGGUAGAAUUCCAGGUGUAGCGGUGAAAUGCGUAGAGAUCUGGAGGAAUACCGGUGGCGAAGGCGGCCCCCUGGACAAAGACUGACGCUCAGGUGCGAAAGCGUGGGGAGCAAACAGGAUUAGAAACCCCAGUAGUCCCAUGAU
rnacentral:rRNA from 1 species